GAUGAACGCUGGCGGCGUGCCUAAUACAUGCAAGUCGAGCGAACAUACGAGGAGCUUGCUCCUCUGACGUUAGCGGCGGACGGGUGAGUAACACGUGGAUAACCUACCUAUAAGACUGGGAUAACUUCGGGAAACCGGAGCUAAUACCGGAUAAUAUAUUGAACCGCAUGGUUCAAUAGUGAAAGACGGUUUUGCUGUCACUUAUAGAUGGAUCCGCGCCGCAUUAGCUAGUUGGUAAGGUAACGGCUUACCAAGGCAACGAUGCGUAGCCGACCUGAGAGGGUGAUCGGCCACAAUGGAACUGAGACACGGUCCAGACUACUACGGGAGGCAGCAGUAGGGAAUCUUCCGCAAUGGGAGAAAGCAUGACGGAGCAACGACGAGUGAGUGAUGAAGGUCUUCGGAUCGUAAAACUCUGUUAGUAGGGAAGAACAAAUGUGUAAGUAACUAUGCACGUCUUGACGGUAACUAAUCAGAAAGCCACGGCUAACUAAGUG
rnacentral:rRNA from 1 species